UUUCUUUUACUACAAAUAAUUUUUUAUUUUUCAAUUGUAGUCAACAUCCAAUAUAAUAUUAGUUUAAUAUACUAAUGCACACAGGUGUACAACCCAGUGAUUAGAAAUUGUGUGACUUACUAAGUUAUCACCGUGAUAAAACCAGUACCCACCUGGCCAUGCAUAGUUAUUACAAUAUUAUUGACGGUAUUCCCUAGGCCGUACUUGGCAUCCCUGUGACUGUUUUGUGAAUCUUGUUUUAAAUGUUACAGAGGAAUCCCUUUUUUAUCUCUCCUGUAUAAUCUUCUGGAUGGAAACUAUACUGAGCAUUUUUCUAAUUUUGUUUUGUAUUUUGCUCUAUGGAAUAAGUGAACGCUGUUAUUAAUGUUAGUCAGUUAGGGUGGCCAUGUACAUACAUACAUGUUUGCCCUGUGAUUAGUUCUACCACAGGGCACUGACCUAGCAUGUUCAGUCCUGGGAAAUGUGAGGUCCUUCUCGUCACAGUGCCCAGAGUCUCAUUUUACUCUUUGUGUGUGUGUGUGAAAUGAUAUUGUCAUGCUAAUUUUACCUUUUCACUGUGAUGCAUGCCUUAAAAGGGGAAAAUGUAAAAAACCAUAAUUUUUAAAAUAUUAUAUUGCUUAUAGUCUAUCUUUUUCUCUGUUUUCACUAACUUUUAUUGCUCCUUGGGUUUUAAAAUGUUCCCUGAGUUUUAAAGUUGCAGGAACACUUUAGCAAUCAGAAAUCCUAAAUGGGGCUGAAAGUAUAUGAGUAGAACUGAGUGAAGGAUAGAUGUCCUCUUUAAAGCAGAUGACCCAGGUGCAAACCACUGGAAAUCAGCCCAAUCUAAAAAGACAUAAUUGUCUGAAUCCUAACUUAAAUAAAAAUUGUCAGUAUGGUAGGAUUCAGACGGGGAACCAGGUUAAUGCCAACACUGCAAGCUUUCCAUGCAGUAGCUCUUUACCAGUACUUUGUAUAUUUGAAACCUAGAACCAAGUCCAUAGAACAGCAAGAUGCAGAAGUAUAUUUCUUGCACAUUUAAAAAACAUAAAUAUUCACCCUGGCUGGUGUGGCUCA